rnacentral:rRNA from 1 species
UGGUCAAGUUAUUAAGGGUGCAGGGCGGAUGCCUUGGCACUAGGAGCCGAUGAAGGACGUGAUAAGCUGCGAUAAGCUUCGGGGAGUUGCACGUAAACUUUGAUCCGAAGAUUUCCGAAUGAGGAAACUCACUUAGAGUAAUGUCUAAGUAUCAUUAAGUGAAUACAUAGCUUAAUGAGGGGAACUCAGGGAACUGAAACAUCUAAGUACCUGAAGGAAGAGAAAGAAAUUCGAUUCCGUAAGUAGCGGCGAGCGAA